rnacentral:tRNA from 2 species
UUUUUUGUAGUAUAAUUAAUUACAUUAGUUUUUCAUACUAAAGAUGGUCGUUAGUCUCAGGUUUU